UACGGAGGAAGCUAGCGUUGUUCGGAAUUACUGGGCGUAAAGCGCACGUAGGCGGCCAUUCAAGUCAGAGGUGAAAGCCCAGGGCUCAACCCUGGAACUGCCUUUGAAACUAGAUGGCUAGAAUCCUGGAGAGGCGAGUGGAAUUCCGAGUGUAGAGGUGAAAUUCGUAGAUAUUCGGAGGAACACCAGUGGCGAAGGCGACUCACUGGACAUGUAUUGACGCUGAGGUACGAAAGCGUGGGGAGCAAACAGG
rnacentral:rRNA from 1 species